CAACAGCUCUAGGAAAUCCCCAAGCUCUGCAAUUGAAGCGACAAGAUUGGCAGCUCAACUGAACAUCGAAACAGGAACUAGCUAGCAACAAGCCACCCUCCAGGAACCAAGAAGUCAAAAGAAAGAAAAAAAUGUACACACCUUACAGCAAACAAACACACAAAAAGGCCUAAAAAGAGAUGGACUGCCAUCCCAGGAUACCCCAAUAGUCAUUCCAGUCAGUCAACAGUCAUUCAACACCAUUGCCUAGGUGUUCUCUGCAGCCCUGGCCUUUUAUUAGUUCAUAAAUCUGGAAACUGAGGUAUUGCUUACAAAAAUCCAUAGGGACUUCACCACUUCUUAACUACUGUGUGCCCGGCAGAUUCCAGGGUUUCUGAACCUCAUCACACCCAGCACUUAACUGCUGUCUUCACCCUCCACAACCAAUGAGGAAAUUGAGGCUCAGAAAGGAAUGUGUCUUCUGCUGCCGGAACUCCAGCACUCUCAGCUAUAAAUGAAGCCAUCCCUAGUCCAGUGCUUGGGUUUGUUGCUAGUUUCUGAUAUGGAAGCAGUGAGCCCUUUGACCUUGAAGUUUUCAUCUGAAAUGUUCUUUAUACAGGCUGAGUAAAGAUGUCUCUUCCAGUU